UACAGAGGUCUCAAGCGUUGUUCGGAUUCAUUGGGCGUAAAGGGUGCGUAGGCGGCGCGGUAAGUCGGGUGUGAAAUCUCGGAGCUUAACUCCGAAACUGCAUUCGAUACUGCCGUGCUUGAGGACUGGAGAGGAGACUGGAAUUUACGGUGUAGCGGUGAAAUGCGUAGAUAUCGUAAGGAACAUCAGUGGCGAAAGCGACUUCCUGGACCAAUACUGACGCUCAUGUGCGAAAGCGUGGGGGAGCAAACAGG
rnacentral:rRNA from 1 species